GUCCACGCCCUAAACGAUGUCAACUGGUUGUUGGGAAUUCAUUUUCUCAGUAACGAAGCUAACGCGUGAAGUUGACCGCCUGGGGAGUACGGCCGCAAGGCUAAAACUCAAAGGAAUUGACGGGGACCCGCACAAGCGGUGGAUGAUGUGGUUUAAUUCGAUGCAACGCGAAAACCUUACCCACCUUUGACAUGUACGGAAGUCGCUAGAGAUAGCUUCGUGCUCGAAAGAGAGCCGUAACACAGGUGCUGCAUGGCUGUCGU
rnacentral:rRNA from 1 species